GUUUGGUCAGACACCUAAACAGUGCGCGCGGUACCUCACUUGAACCGCUAGGGCGAACAGUGCCCGCCUCCUUGCCUUUAGAGCAGCUUUGACAGUGGCCUCCAUACCCCUGAGUCCCUGGGAAGCACUUUUGCCUUAACGCAGACGUUCCACCUUCUCCCUCUCAGCUUCCUCAGCGCAGAGACGGAGAAAACUGCCCCCGGGCCUCUAGAACCAGGAGCCUGACGACUUUAGACCUUGUGAGAGGGGGUAGGGGAUGGAACGGGCAGUCAACUGAAGCCACAAAGGAGAAGAAAGAAACAACAGGCUCAAGGUGGAGCCACUAGCCCCCAGGACAGCAAACCAAGACUUAAUGGCAGUUUCAGCCUGUCUCAAGAACAGAAUUUCUGGAAUUGCUUAUCAGCACUAGGGAGCGGUACGCGGGCCUCUUACUGUUGUGGCCUCUCCCGUUGCAGAGCACAGGCUCCGGACGCGCAGACUCAGCGGCCAUGGCUUACGGGCCUAGCCGUUCCACGGCAUGUGGGAACUUCGCGGACCGGGGCACGAACCUGCGUCCCCUGUAUCGGCAGGCGGACUCUCAACCACUGCGCCACCAGGGAAGCCCCGAAAAUAAUGUGUUUUGAAAAGCAGUUAAUCAGGCUGGUAACAUUAUGAGUGAACUUUUUUUCUUCUUAGACUUUAGUGUAACACUAGUUUAAUAGAAUUUUCUUUUAAGGCUUGUUUUUGUAGGUUGUAGAGUUGCUAAUUGCAACACCCUCAAAUUACCAAAAAGUUAAUAUUUUUUAACCAACUGAAUUUUAUUAUUGUCAUUUUGAAGAAAGGCAGCAAUUGUGUU